rnacentral:rRNA from 1 species
CCCAGACUCCUACGGGAGGCAGCAGUGGGGGAUAUUGCACAAUGGGGGGAACCCUGAUGCAGCGACGCCGCGUGGGUGAAGGAGCGUUUCGGCGCGUAAAGCCCUAUCGGCAGGGAAGAAGGAGGACGGUACCUGACUAAGAAGCCCCGGCUAACUACGUGCCAGCAGCCGCGGUAAUACGUAGGGGGCAAGCGUUAUCCGGAUUUACUGGGUGUAAAGGGGGCGCAGACGGCAGCGCAAGCCAGGAGUGAAAGCCCGGGGCCCAACCCCGGGACUGCUCUUGGAACUGCGCGGCUGGAGUGCAGGAGGGGCAGGCGGAAUUCCUGGUGUAGCGGUGAAAUGCGUAGAUAUCAGGAGGAACACCGGUGGCGAAGGCGGCCUGCUGGACUGCGACUGACGUUGAGGCCCGAAAGCGUGGGGAGCAAACAGGAUUAGAUACCCUCGUACA